rnacentral:rRNA from 1 species
UACGGAGGGUGCGAGCGUUAUCCGGAUUUACUGGGUUUAAAGGGUGCGUAGGCGGAUAAAUAAGUCAGUGGUGAAAGCCUGCAGCUUAACUGUAGAAUUGCCAUUGAUACUGUUUGCCUUGAGUACAGUUGAGGUGGGCGGAAUAUGGCAUGUAGCGGUGAAAUGCUUAGAUAUGCCAUAGAACACCGAUUGCGAAGGCAGCUCACUAAACUGUCACUGACGCUGAGGCACGAAAGCGUGGGGAGCAAACAGG